CUGACUGAACCACUGAAUCCACACAUACGCCGACACAUUCGACCGGGUGCCCGGCGGCUGCGCAGCAAUCGGGUUGUCGGAUGCGGGCGUAUGGAGGCUCAAC
rnacentral:sRNA from 1 species